GACCCACAUAGGCCAAAACCAUCAAAACAACCCAUAAUCUCACAUACUCUCUCCCCAUCAUGCAUACUCACUCCCACAAGUAUAAACUAGCUUAAAACUUCUUCAUAACAUCACAUAAACAUACAUUGGGCAUAAAACCCACAUAACUCCUAACAUGCAUAUCUACCCAUACUCAACCAUUAAAACCUCUUAAAACUUACUUAAAACUUCAUGAAACAUAAGAGAAAGCAUAGAUCCACACUUACCUCUUAAAGAUCGAGGGCUGGUGCGACCCAAAGCUUGAGGUGUGGAGAAUCCAAGCUCCAAAAGCUCCAAGCUCUCCAAACCU
rnacentral:lncRNA from 1 species